GGAUGUAAGGGCAAUCUGGCUGCGACAUCGGUCAUCCCACUGAUUGCCAGGGUUGAUUCCGUUGAUCUGGCUGGCUAGGUGGGUGUCCCCUUCCUCCCUCACCACUCUAUGUGCUUCGAAUCCCUUCUAAAGCUCUGUGCUCAGUUGAAGAGGAUGACCACCCCAGAUAGAGGAGGACCAUUUCCUCAGUCAAGGUAAACAAGUAGCGGUGCUCCCCUGCUAGAACUUCCAAAGAAGCUCUUAAAAAAAUUGUUAUCCAAAAAGAAAUUCAUAGACUAAAAAUCAAAGGGUGGAAAAUAAUAUUCCAU
rfam:Heterocephalus glaber contig191045, whole genome shotgun sequence.